rnacentral:pre_miRNA from 1 species
UUUAAGUUUUUGCUUACAACGUUUGACCACUCGUCUUAUUCAAAAAAUUUUAGAAUUAUUAUUUAUUUUAUUUGUGACUUACUUUAUUAUCCACAGUACUUUAAGCACAACUUUUCAUUUUUAUAUUUGCAAAAAAAAAUUGAAUAAGAUGAGUAGUCAAACGUUGUAAGCAAAAACUCAAAAUUCUCCUUAUA